GAUGAACGCUGGCGGCGUGCCUAAUACAUGCAAGUCGAGCGAACAGACGAGGAGCUUGCUCCUCUGACGUUAGCGGCGGACGGGUGAGUAACACGUGGAUAACCUACCUAUAAGACUGGGAUAACUUCGGGAAACCGGAGCUAAUACCGGAUAAUAUAUUGAACCGCAUGGUUCAAUAGUGAAAGACGGUUUUGCUGUCACUUAUAGAUGGAUCCGCGCCGCAUUAGCUAGUUGGUAAGGUAACGGCUUACCAAGGCAACGAUGCGUAGCCGACCUGAGAGGGUGAUCGGCCACCCCGGAACUUAAACACGGUCCAGACUCCUACGGGAGGCCGCAGUAGGGAAUCUUCCGCAAUGGGCGAAAGCCUUACGGAGCAACGCCGCGUGAGUGAUGAAGGUCUUCCGAUCGUAAAACUCUGUUAUUAGGGAAGAACAAAUGUGUAAGUAACUAUGCACGUCUUGACGGUACCUAAUCAGAAAGCCACGGCUAACUACGUG
rnacentral:rRNA from 1 species